rnacentral:lncRNA from 10 species
AUUUUGACAACAUCCUUAUCUUUAGGAGCUAAUAACACAAUGGAGAAGCCAGAUACAUAAAUGUAUUGUUAGUACUUUGCAAAAAAUGCAAUGGCACUAAAUGCAAGGACAGGAUAUUUAGCCUUAGAUAAGACUUAAAGGGCACAUAGGAAAUAGCCAGGCAGACAGGAUAGGCAGAGGGAACAGUAUCAAUACAGGACAUAAGGCCUAUGUGCAGGGAACUCAAGUAAUUUUAUGUGAUAGAUAAAGCUGAAGGGGUUGGCAAGGCUAAGUGCUUUCUAUGUCACUCUACAGAAAAUGGACUUCAAAUCAU